rnacentral:rRNA from 1 species
UGGCGGACGGGUGAGUAAUGUCUGGGAAACUGCCCGAUGGAGGGGGAUAACUACUGGAAACGGUAGCUAAUACCGCAUAACGUCGCAAGACCAAAGAGGGGACCUUCGGGCCUCGCGCCAUCAGAUGAACCCAUAUGGGAUUAGCUAGUAGGUAAGGUAACGGCUUACCUAGGCGACGAUCCCUAGCUGGUCUGAGAGGAUGAUCAGCCACACUGGGACUGAGACACGGCCCAG